rnacentral:piRNA from 1 species
UGGCUCUACUGAAAAUGGUGAUGCAUGC